rnacentral:rRNA from 1 species
GACGUAGGGCGCGAGCGUUGUCCGGAUUUAUUGGGCGUAAAGAGCGCGUAGGCGGUCCGGUAAGUCGGCUGUGAAAGUCAAGGGCUCAACCCUUGAAAGCCGGUGGAUACUGUCGGGCUAGAGUACGGAAGAGGCAAGUGGAAUUCCUGGUGUAGCGGUGGAAUGCGCAGAUAUCAGGAGGAACACCUAUAGCGAAGGCAGCUUGCUGGGACGUUACUGACGCUAAGGCGCGAAAGCGUGGGGAGCGAACAGG